GUGCAAAACAUCUGUUAUUAGGGGACGGUAGCUCGGUUCGGGUUGCACGCACAAUACAGCAACAGCAGCAACCUACAUCAACCCAUAAUAUGGCAACUUUGAUCUAUCAGUGAGCUGAGGCAUAGCCUGCAAGAAAAUAAAAUUACCAAUUAAGGGAAGUAGGUGGCUAUGUGGAGCUGAAGCAGCCAACACUGCCACAGUCAAAUUACAAACAAGUUGAAAACGAAAUCAUAGUUAACAAGCUAGGGGAGGGAGAUGAUGGUAAAUCUUCAUGAACCAGGUUUUUCUUCACAGUGCUCAACCACUAGCUCUUUUUCUUUCCUCUUUUUUUCUUGUCUAUUGCUUUUGGUUGCAUGCUGCUGACCCUUAUAAAAUGAGACUAGAUUCCAAGACAGAUGGGAUGGCCCACUAUUAUAAUCAUAUCCCUUUAUCAAUUUUCUUCUGAAAAGAAGGAAAAAAAAAAAAAGACUCUUUUUGAGCUAGCUGUGGCCUCCACCUAGCACUUGAUAUCAAUUACCAACGAGUUUUGGGUUUAGAGAUAAAAGCUUAAGCAAAUUGAAACAUGAUAAGACCCUUUUAGUAUCUGAAAAGACAAGUUCCAUCAACUACAUCAUCUCACAGACCAGAGUGAAAAUUAUCUUAAAAGUUACUAAACUAAUCAGCCCCAAAUUACGUUUUAUAACAUUAAUUAUUCCUCUAAUUACAGUGAUAUAACAUGUUAAUCACAUUAACUUUUAACGAAUUGUACAAUAAACCUUAAAUUAAUGGAAUUUUGAGCAUCAAGGGAAAGGCAUGAAGAAAUGUACUGUAAUUUG